ensembl:lncRNA
UGACAGACAAGAAAUAGUGUACAACUGAAAUUUCACAACGAUGUAAACUAUUAUGAACUCAAAUGAAAAAAAAAAAAGGAAAAGUUGGGAUUAGGAAUGUAUUUUACUUAACAAUAUCCAAACCAUUAUUUCAACAUGGAAGCAAUAUGCAAAAAUUAUGAGUGAGAUAUUUUACCGUCUUUGUGCAAAGUCUGGAAUCCAAUGUCUAUUUUACAGUUAGAGCACAACAUUUCAGGUGCUCGGCAGCCUCGUGUGGCUAGUGGCUGCUGUGUUGGACAGCGCAGGUCUAGAGGGACACUGAUUGCUGAGCGGUGUUCAGGUCCCGACUAUAGCGAGCAGCCAAGGGUUUAGAGCGGUGCGCAUCUGCCCAGUUGUGAGUUUUUUCUCCAGCCAUUCUUGGCAGUUUGAAGGCAGCCAAAGAGAAGGCAUUAAUUCAUUCCAAAAAAGCUAUUAUAAUUCCAGCAAGAUGCUGGAGCUGCAGUAGUGUGUAAGACGGACAAAGUCAGCCAGACCCUCUCUGAACAGGGAGUCAGCUUGAAGCACUCACUCUGCCUAGAGCUGAGACCUCAAACAGGGCGUAGCUAGAUUUCCAUGCAUCUCGGGGUGACUGCAGGGAGGAACGCCUGGACGGAGCUUUAGAUGCCUCCACUGAAGACAAGAUCCUGGGGUUGGGGACGUGGCUUAGAGGGAUAAGUCCACAUUUUCUUUCAUAUUCCACUUCGGUCCAGCCACAGAAUUCUUAUAGCUGCCCUUUACAGCCUAGGAUAAAUUAGGUGCCUUCUGUAGAAAAUGUGCUUGGCAUUCAGACUUGAAAAACCACUGAUAGAGAGUCAUGUCCAGGAUCUAUUGUUAAGUGAAAAUAGCAAAAUGCAGAUCAGACUAUAUGGAUGCUACGUUCUGUGUAAGAAAGGAGGGGAAAUAAGAAUAGAUUAUUUUGAUUUUUGAACCAUUUAAAUGUAUUACCUAGUCAAAGAGAAAUAAAAUCUAAAAAAUUGAAACCCAGAAGUAAUACAGAGCAAGGAAUGUUAUAAGAUGUGUUUGUAAAAUUAUAUUUUUAACCAUCUCUAUUGUAAAGUAUAUCUCUGUGACUGUAUUUAAACUCCAAAAUGCAUGUGUUCUGAUGCAUGUUGAUGUUGGAGCCUUAUGAAACUUCAUUCCAACUUAUUGCAAAAAAAAAAAGUUUGAGAAGCAACAGGCUAGACUUUUUGACCAGGCGCAGAGAAAUCUCCACCCCCAGACUGUGACCAAUCCCUAAUGACCCCUCCUUCUUGGAGCCUGCGUAGGAGAUGGAGUGUGGGGCGGAAGACAGGGCUUCCUGCCCUGGGGAGGAAGAUUAGCCCUGAGCUAACAUCUGUUGCCAAUCUUCUUUUUGCUGAGGAAGACUGGCCCUGAGCUAACAUCCCUGUCCAUCUUCCUCUACUUUAUAUGUGGGACGCCUACCACAGCAUGGCUUGACAAGCGGUGCCAUGGCCGCACCAGGGAUCCAAACUGGCGAACCCCAGGCUGCUGCCGCCAAAGUGGAAUGUGUACACUUAACUGCUGCAUCACCGGCCC